GAUGAACGCUGGCGGCGUGCCUAAUACAUGCAAGUCGAGCGAACAGACGAGGAGCUUGCUCCUCUGACGUUAGCGGCGGACGGGUGAGUAACACGUGGAUAACCUACCUAUAAGACUGGGAUAACUUCGGGAAACCGGAGCUAAUACCGGAUAAUAUAUUGAACCGCAUGGUUCAAUAGUGAAAGACGGUUUUGCUGUCACUUAUAGAUGGAUCCGCGCCGCAUUAGCUAGUUGGUAAGGUAACGGCUUACCAAGGCAACGAUGCGUAGCCGACCUGAGAGAGUGAUCGGCCACACUGGAACUGAGACACGGUCCAGACUCCUACGGGAGGCAGCAGUAGGGAAUCUUCCGCAAUGGGCGAAAGCCUGACGGAGCAACGCCGCGUGAGUGAUGAAGGUCUUCGGAUCGUAAAACUCUGUUAUUAGGGAAGAACAAAUGUGUAAGUAACUAUGCACGUCUUGACGGUACCUAAUAAGAAAGCCACGGCUAACUACGUG
rnacentral:rRNA from 1 species